rnacentral:ncRNA from 1 species
GGAAUCCGUAAUCAAUGUAUGUGGUGGAUGCCUUGACUUGAAAAGGCGAUGAAGGACGUAGCAAUCUGCGAUAAGCCUCGGGGAGCUGGUAAGCAAGCUUUGAUCCGGGGAUUUCCGAAUGGGGAAACCCGAUCGCGUGAAGCGCGAUCGCCGUCCCAAUGCCGAUUUUGAUACUGAUGUUGAAUUUUGUUGCCAACCGAAAUUGUGAUUAAGGGACAUAUGGGCCUGGAUUGCAAUCCCGGUAAGGUACAUUUCACAAUCUCGGGAUCAAUAUCGGCACGGGGACGAAGCAUACCCGCUGAAGUGAAACAUCUCAGUAAGCGGAGGAAAAGAAAAUAAGUCCGCCCAAUUUUUUGGAUUGUUAUUGGUUUUUUUUGCGUUUGAGAGAUAUUUUUUUAUCAAGGUUAUGGCCAUCUUGAAAUAAAAAUAGUAUCCAAAAAUUUGGGCGGAUCAUUCCCCUAGUAGUGGCGAACGAACGGGGAGCAGUCUAAACUAUUUUAAGUGUUUGCGAGAGAAAUACACUUUUAGUGUAUGGAUCUAGCAUUAAAGGUGUGAGCCGUUGCUUAAUUUAGGGUUGCAAGACCUUGAUAUUUCUAUUGCUUACACAAUAGAAGAUGAGUUACAAAAAGUAAUUUCCCUAGAGGAACAGCUCUGGAAAGAGCGACCAAAGAAGGUGACAGUCCUGUACGCGAAAGGGAUUACACUUAUACUUCAAGUGUUCUUAAGUAGGGCAAGACACGUGAAAUCUUGUCUGAAUCCGGGUCGACUAUGACCCAAGACUAAAUACUUUUCAAGAUCGAUAGUGAACUAGUACCGUGAGGGAAAGGUUAAAAGUAUCCCGGUGAGGGAGAUGAAAUAGUAUCUGAAACCACAUACUUACAAAGAGUCAGAGUCCGCUCAACGCGCAAGCGCAUGAGCGGAUGAUGGCGUGCCUAUUGAAGAAUGAGCCAACGAGUUUAUGUAUGUUACUUGUCUAAUUCCCUAUAGGGAUAUAGGCAAAGGGAAACCAAGUCUUAACCGGCGUAUAUCUUUUAAUAUUAUUAACUCAAUGCUUUAAAGUUAAUGAUAUUAAAGGAAAAGGUAGCAUGUAUAAGACCCGAAACCAAGUGAGCUAGCCAUGACCAGGAUGAGCCCAGAGUAAUAUCUGGAGGAGGUCCGAACCCAAGCGCCGUGCAACACGCUGGGAUGAGUUGUGGUUAGGGGUGAAAUUCCAAUCGAACUUGGUAAUAGCUGGUUCUCCUCGAAAUAGCUUUAGGGCUAGCGUCGAUUAAUAAUUUACUAGGGGUAGAGCACUGGAUGGGGUUGAAGCCUUCGGGUAUUCUCUCCAAUCAAACUCCGAAUACUAGUAAACCCAGCGCCACUCUUGAGUGGUGCCGGGUAAAUUUUUCGGCAGUCAGACCGUGGGGGCUAAGCUUCACUGGUCUAAAGGGAAACAGCCCAGAUCUCAAUCUAAGGUCCCUAAAUUUACAUUAAGUGUUAAAGGUUGUAGAUUUUCUUAUACAACUAGGAGGUUGGCUUAGAAGCAGCCACCCUUUAAAGAAAGCGUAACAGCUCACUAGUCAAGAAUUUCCGCGCCGAAAAUUUAUCGGGGCUAAAUGUAGUACCGAAGAUGAGGCCCGCCAAAAUUUUUUGCUUUGCAAAAAAACUUAGACGGGGGUAGAGGAGCAUUUUUAGGUCGUUGAAGUCUAUGGCGCGAGCCAGGAUGGAGGCCUAGGAAGUGAGAAUGUUGGCAUAAGUAGCAAAAAGGCAGGUGAGAAUCCUGCCCACCGAAAACCUAAGGUUUCCUGGGCAAUGACUAUCAACCCAGGGUUAGGCGAGCCUAACCGCGGCGGCGAAAGGCGUCGUGGGAUGGAAGAACAGGUUAAUAUUCCUGUCCUGCUUUAGAUUUAUCUCCAAGAUAACGCACUAGAGUGAAUAAGCGUCAUAUGACUAUGACGUUUCUCAAUAGCGCAAGCUGUUGGGAUAGAAGUGAAACCUCCGGGUGGAUCGAAUUUAUGUAAUUUAGUGCCUAGAAAAGUUUUGGUGUUAUGAUUUAAAGCAUCCGUACCGCAAACCGACACAGGUGGGUGAGGUGAGAAACCUAAGGUGUACGAGAUAACCCUUAUUCAGGAACUCGGCAAAAUAGCGGGCGUAACUUCGGGAUAAGCCCUUCCGUUCACCCGCUCAUAUUUUUGAGCGGGUUGAACGGGC